rnacentral:rRNA from 1 species
GGCGGCAGGCCUAACACAUGCAAGUCGAGCGGUAACAUUUCUAGCUUGCUAGAAGAUGACGAGCGGCGACGGGUGAGUAACGCGUAGAAAUCUACCUAGUAGUGGGGGAUAGCCCAGAGAAAUUUGGAUUAAUACCGCAUACGCCCUACGGGGAAAGCGGGGGAUCUUCGGACCUCGUGCUAUUAGAUGAGUCUGCGUCGGAUUAGCUUGUUGGUGAGGUAAUGGCUCACCAAGGCGACGAUCCGUAGCUGGUCUGAGAGGAUGACCAGCCACACUGGAACUGAGACACGGUCCAGACUCCGUACGGGAGGCAGCAGGUGGGGAAUAUUGCAACAAGUGGGCGCAAGCCUGAUGCACGCCAUGCCGCGUGUGUGAAGAAGGCCGUUAGGGUUAGUAAAGCUACUUUCAGCAGUGAAGGAAAGGGGUGUCGUUAAUAGCGCCAUCCUGUGACGUUAACUGCAGAAGAAGGACCGGCUAACUCCGUG